rnacentral:lncRNA from 1 species
AAGGCAUUUAUUUUUUCAUAUAACACAUUCUUGGGGUUUGGAGCCAACCGCCUCCAGGGAGGGUCACAAAUCCACUCAAUGCCCCCGACAACUCUGGUUUAUGUUUGAAGGUCAGCUUCAGCUGAAAGAUGAGUAAAACUGUGGUGAAGUCAGAUGUUCCCUGGUGGCGCUGGGGCCUAGGGGCACAGAUUAUUUCAACAAGGCUGCAUGAAAAAGUCCAGUUCAGAACAUUUGCUUCAGAUGGAUUCACCUGUUCAAGGCAGCCAGAGGAACAAAACCUGUCCACUGGGCUAAAUCCUUCCCAUGGCACUCACCUGGCGCCUUUACCUGGCCACCGCUCUUCUGGAAGGGCUUGUGGGGCUGCGCGGAGAGGGAGUGAGGUGGCCUUCCCUUUUCCUUUUCUCCAGUGAAUAAAGUAUUGCUACUUACCCAGGUUUUCUCCUGCCGCUAGGAGAGCCAGUCGGGACCCAGGGUGUCCAAUCAGGCCACCAAAGCUCCGCACUACUCGCAAAGACAAUUAUUCCAGGGGGGCUUCUGACAGUGGGAAAAGAGAAUUAAUUAAGUCUCCCUGUAUGUUCUAGAGCUAGUGUGGUUAUGCCUUCUCUCAGAGCCUCGUAAAUUUGGAAUAGUGAUGUAUUAUUAGAGAUUUUCGUGGAGUUCUAGAACUGAAGGGUCUUUAAGCGAUCAUGUAGCCAAGCAACUUCCUUUCAUAAAGACGAGAACAAGCCCAGAGAGGCUGUGUGACAGAUUGGAGCCUACACCAGGUCUCAGGACACCAAAUCUAGGACUCAGCGUUUCGUGAUUUACGUUUUACACAGAGACAAAGUCUGCAGCAGGCUCUGAGAGCAGUACCGAGGCGACGUGACCUCCUUGUGACCACAAAUCCCCGCCAGGCUGUCCAGAAGCAAUACAUUCUCCUGACCUGCGGGGCCUGCCAGCGUGCAUCGGGGAUCGGAGCGCACUCUGAAAGCCAGAAGGGGACGAUGAGAGGCCAAGAUGGGAAGUGCAUCACGUGCAACUUCUCUCACAACACAUGCAGGGCUUUUGCUUACAGUUCGGCGGGUCCCGUUCCCUUCCCGGGGUGGAGGUGGCUCACCUGUCAGCUGCCUGCGGUGGCGGUGACCACCGGGCCCCUUUCUCGUGACUGGGCCACGCGGGGCCUUUCCAGCUCAGCCCCUGGGGAUUUCCGCGAGCACAGCCUCCCCUCUGCAGGUGCAGGGCCUAGCGCUCCGGCUGAGCAGGUGCAGGGCCCGAGUCCCCGUCUGAGCAGGUGCAGGGCCAGAGCUCGGCUCAGGACUCGGGGGCGCCCCUGGGACCAAGGCGGAGGGAUGCGCUCCCUGCGGGGACCCCCGCCACCCCCAACCC